AAGCAAUCAAGGUAUUUUUUUUACUUUCUCACCCAAACUCCAAUCUCCUUGUUCCAUUCGGCAUCAGUGCACAGAUGCCUAGUUUUGCCAGCAUCGAUCGGAAGGACCAGAGAGAUAAAAUGUUGCAGAACAGAAAAUAAAGGUUUGUCUUAUUGAAGGUUUAUAGGAACACUGCAACCGCCCCCUGGGACCUCCAUGGACACCUGCAAGGGCAAAGGAUUCCCACACCAAGAAGCUGGCAGCCACUAGCCACACCCCCUCCCCUUUUGGUAUAAGAGAAGCCUGAAUUCUAACCUGGGGAAGGUAGGAAGAGAGGGCAAGUUUCCUUGAUGAACCCCAGGCCCUUGCAAAUCACUCAGCUGUGCCAGAUGUGAGCAUCAGCCCUGGGAAAGGGGAUCAGUUGGUGACGAGGCGCAGGUGCUCCGUAAUUAGUCAGUGGUUGAAUAAAAUGAAAAUGGAUCAACUCUCUUUCCUGACGUGGCUGACUUUUUCUCCCAGGGAUAAAAGUCAACCCACCGCAGGCCUCACUGUUCACUUCCUGUGCAGACAUUUUGUCAUCAAGCGUCACAGCCAAGAACGGGAAGCGUUAGCUGAAGCCACAUUUCCUGCAAAUAAUCCUCCCUCUGGAUGGAAAACAACCACCUGAAUCUUUUGCUGUGUUUGUCUUAAACCCAAUAACCUAGUCAUCUCCAAGAGACGGAUCUCUGAUCUUCUGCACGUCCUGCAGGACGAUUCUGUUUACUAUCCCCAAGUGAAUCCCUGGGAUACGUCAAACUGUAUCCCUUUUCUCUUUUGUCAUGGAAUUGCUUUUCCUUUUAACCGCACAGUGUUUGGAAACCACAGUAAUUCCACCUGUCUCCUAAUUUUCCGAGGAGAAGUGGCCAAACCAAGGAGAAAACUGGAACAGUGAGUGGCCAAAGCCUGGUGCCAUCUUCAUCCACAACAAGGUCUUGCCCCCCUGGCAAGCUGUUCCCACUCACUUACCUCGCACCCCCGGCCGCUCAGCUCUGGGCCGACCACUGCAACUCCAUGUUCAAGGUGUCGGAAAUGAAGACAACGCCGGCUCGGGUCGCCAGUGUCAGAAAGUGAGACACGUGGACAAGGAGACAUCUCGACAAGGCUCUUUACUUCUGCAGAAGGGCGCGGGCCCUCCAAAAAGUGCAGGUGCCCAACAAGGGACCCUCCCCUAUUGACCCCUAACGCAGGUGAUGGACCCGUCCCCUUCCCAUGGGUCAGGUCAGGGCGCACACUCUUCCCGGUUGGCUCACUGAAACCACUUGUUGCUGGGAAAAGGGGUCAAGGGGAAGGGGGUCGCAGAGGCGUUUCCACCAACACCAGAGUGACAUGGAGUCACCAAGGUUUCCUUUGGUAGAAAAGACAUGAGGUUAUUUCCACAACAGCCCCUUCUAACACCGCUGCAAAGCAAAGCCACCGGGAAAAAAUGUAAUUGUAAGGUAUACAUGUAAGGAUAAGCUGACCCCCUUGCUGUACAGUGGGAAAAUAAAAUUAAAAAAAUUAUAAAAAAAAAGAAAAGAAAAGAAAAGCCACCCACCCUGAGGCCGAAAUCACACAGCCCUCCUUCAAACUCACUGGGAGAAGGGGGUUAUUUGAAGACAAAAAGGGGUGUUUUUAUACGCACCCUCCAGGUUCAGAACAGAUUUCGAAUAAAGAGAAGCAAUGACUUUGUUAGAAGGCUGUUUGAUUUUUAAGUGUAUACUUUGGCGAGCGGGAGCGGGGGGUAAAGUCCGUGGGGGAGCUUUUAAGGGGAGCUGAGACGCAAUUUGCCACUUCCCAUCCUCCGUCGAGGUGACCCCAAAGGAAAACUUAGGGUGUCAGCUUCUUGUCACCCUCCUCCCACAAGAAAUGGAUGCCAGGCCAGGCUGUGGGUAACGAGGGUGGGGAGGCCUCUGCCGAUGGCCCGAGAGGGGACCCUCCGUUCUGUCCAUAUUUCCUUCUCACAAAUACACAUGGACUCUCACUCUUGGCCAUGUAACUUGCUUGUAUGAAUUAAUUGUUUCAGCAGUAUAUUGAACAAAUUCCUGAACUCAAA
rnacentral:lncRNA from 1 species